rnacentral:rRNA from 1 species
UCCUACGGGAGGCAGCAGUGGGGAAUAUUGGACAAUGGGGGCAACCCUGAUCCAGCAAUGCCGCGUGUGUGAAGAAGGUUUUCGGAUUGUAAAGCACUUUCGACGGGGACGAAGAUGACGGUACCCGUAGAAGAAGCCCCGGCUAACUUCGUGCCAGCAGCCGCGGUAAU